UACGUAGGGUGCAGGCGUUUAAUCGGAAUACUGGGCGUAAAGCGUGCGCAGGCGGUUUUGUAAGUCUGACGUGAAAUCCCCGGGCUUAACCUGGGAAUUGCGUUGGAGACUGCAAGGCUGGAGUCUGGCAGAGGGGGGGUAGAAUUCCACGUGUAGCAGUGAAAUGCGUAGAGAUGUGGAGGAACACCGAUGGCGCAAGGCAGCCCCCCUGGGCCAAUACUGACGCUCAUGCACGAAAGCGUGGGGAGCAAACAGG
rnacentral:rRNA from 1 species